rnacentral:lncRNA from 1 species
AGCCAUAUCACAUACUCUAAUAUUUAAACUCCUAUACAUGCCAUAGGCUCAAAGUACUUGAAAUCACUACACCAAUAGCGUUAGCUUGACAGUGUGAUAAUAUCUCUGACGGCCUCCAACCCGAGCUAACCUGGAAACUCUAGAAAACAGGGGAAAAAAGAGGGGGUGUAAGCUUUCUCUUAGUAAGUUCAUAUGAAAACAAUAAACACUCAUUAACUUGUUUUAUCAAUGUUUACAACAUAUUCUCAAGUUCACUACAAGCUGUCUUUCUGAGCAACAGUCACUAAAUUAUUUAUAUAUGGAGCUACAAAACUCCAAAUUAAGUUCCGUUAAUUUUCCCUGAAGUUAGACUUAUUUUCAUUUCUUCCAUAAAAUUUUCAGAAUUUUUGGUUAAGCCAAAUAGUACAGUUUAUUCCUCAAAGUUACCCCUGAUUCACUGUCUGACAGUUCCGACCCUUCUGUACUGAAGUUCAAUUAUCUCAUAGUACAAGACUCUAAUAAUGUUCUCGUCUAUUUAUCUUGAAACUAGACUCAUAUUUCUACUUACUAAUUUUUUUCUAGAAUUUUUGGUUGGGCCAAUUAGUACAGUUUAUUAGUUAAAGUCUCCCCUGUUUCAGGGUAUGACCACUCUGACCCCUGUGCACUACAAACCGAAUUUCUCCCUGUAAAAAAUUCCAAAGACCAUGACGUUUAUUUCCCCUAAAACUAGACUCAAUAAGGAAUCCAUGCAUGUAAGGUAUGACUCUUAAUAAUUUUUUUUUACAAUUUUUGGUGAAUUUCUAAAGUCAGAACAGGGGAUCUUGAAUUCAUUCAGACCCUAUUUCACAAGAAUUCAAAUAUCACACAAUAUGGAAUUCUUUUUCUUCCCCUGUUUCUUUCAUGUGAAAACAAACUCAUUAAGCUUUAAUCCCAUAUUUUAUUCUACCUCUAACUCAUUUUCCACUAUUUUUAGUGUAUUUGCAAAGUUACACUACUGCAGUAACUCAAAUCUGUCAAGGCUAAAUUACUCAUUCAUGAUCAUUGUUCACAAAAUUAAUACAACAUCGUUUGUAUAAUCAUCACUGAGACAUUCAUAUCACAUUUUCAUUUACCAUCUUACCAUAUUGUUGUUAUGUCGAGUUUUCAACCCGAGGGUUAAGUACAUACCUGUUCAAAGUAUCCAUUUCACAACAUUUACCAAUACGUCCCUUUCAUCUCGAGUAUUCCUCCAUUUGAGUAGAAUUUUACCCGUUGAACACAUCGGAAUAUAAUUCGGAUACAUGGAAAGUUUGAACAUAAGUGCCACAUAUGUAGCCAAGCUACCAUGUAACCCGCCCAUAAGUGAACUCGGACUCAACUCAACGAGCUCGGGCGUUCGCAUCCAUAAGUGAACUCGGACUCAACUCAACGAGCUCGGAUGCCUAGUUACAUCUUACGAACUCGGACUCAACUCAACGAGUUCGAGCAUUCGCAUCCAUAAGUGAACUCGGACUCAACUCAACGAGUUCGGAUGCUCAACCAUCCUAGUGACAUGUCACUUGUAUCCUAAUCUAUUCCUAAGGUUCAAACGGGAUUUUCCUCGAACACAUAUCCUUGCCAUCUUCCGUAAAAUACCGAAACCAAUACUUGGUAGCACUUUAUAUUUAACAGAUAAUACACAACUUGCAUCUUAUUCGAAAAUAACCACAAAGCAUAUAUUUCAUGAUAAAAAUCAGCAUAUCAUAUAUUUAACAUCAAUAACUUAAAAAUAACAAUUAUGCUACAUUAUUUACACAUGAACUUACCUCGAUACCACAAAGGUGAAAAAAAGACGUAAUUAUCCCUUAAUCGAUUUCUUUCCAUUCUAGGUCCAAAUCUCGAUUUUCAUCAUCUAAAAUAUCACAUUCAACUUAUUAAAACAAUGUACUGAUCAAAUUAGUCCAUUGACACACUUGGGCAAUUUUUACAAUUUUGCCCCUAUAUUUUUCCAAAAUUACCAAAUUACCCCUAGGCUCGUAAAAUAAUUUUUAUCACAUUUCUUUACUCCUUGAGUCUAGAUGAACCAUUUUCAUAACUAUAGCAACUCAUAAUUUCAACUAUUUCACACAUUUACAACUCAUUUUACAACUUAGCAAUCUAGCCCCUUUUUAGGUGUUUUCAUGCAAUUUCUUUCACAAAAGUUGUUUAUUAGACAACUAGAACUCAUAAUCUUCCAUAAAAACACAGCAAACAACACAUUUACUCUCAUGGCAAAACCCUAGACUCUUCAUCAUUUUGCAAAAUGGACCCCUCAUAUGAAAGCUCAUGCUUUAGGGGUUCCAAAAAUGUAAAAAUCAUCAAGAAAAAGCAUUAAAAUCACUUACUAUAAAGGGAGUUUCUU